AGCAUGCUCUCGGCCACGCUCUUCUUGGUGGCAUAGUGGUUCAGGUUGAUGGGCUGGCUCCCCCUGGGGUUGGGGUUCCCAGGCUGCAGGUCGACUGAUUUCUCU